AGAAAUUAUUGCCCGAUCCUCUUUGUCCAUUCUGCCGCCAGCUACCGGCAACAACAGAGCACCUCUUCUUACUCUGCGAGUAGACAAAAGCGAUAUGGUCAGACCCAAGAGUCAGUAUCAAGUUUUCCAGUCAAGAGAUUACUAGGCUAGACAAAUGGGUUCUCGAUCAGAUGCAACAAAAGAGGAACUCACCCUCUUUCGAAGUCUUUGCGUGUAUAUUGUGGAACUUGCGGAAGGCACGCAAUUACUUCAUCUUCCAGUCUUGGCAACCAGAUCUGAACGCAAUUAUCGAAAAUGCUUAUGCUAUAGACAAGAACUUUAGACGCCGGAACCCUGUAACAUCUACUCGGGAGAAGGGACAGGUAAAACUACAGGAACUUGAGGUCUGCCCUUCUGCACUUGGAAGACAAGCG
rnacentral:lncRNA from 1 species